rfam:Leptotrichia buccalis DSM 1135, complete genome.
GGGUAUAAUUUAUUUAUGACAUAACUCAGUGAAGAAACUAAGAGCAUAGUUGCUGAGGUUAUAGCGGAAAAUGAGUUGAAUUAUUCGGGAUACUGAAUAUGUAGGCUUUUGAUAAAGUGGCGACAUUAAUCAACGAGUGUAUACAUUCACAAGAUUAAGUUAUAAGCAUAUUUGUAAUGAUAGAAGAUUAAAGCACUUUAAUUGGAUUAGGCAGAUUCAAUAGACGUUCCUGUGGAAAAUAACCUUAAAAGACUUGAGGGUGAUAGCUCAAGAAACUAUAAGGAAUAAUCAAAAUCUGUUAGGUGGUUGAUGUGAACUGAAUAAGUCACUAUAAUUGAUUGUUAAAGUUACAACUGCAAAAAUCCACCAGAUUAAAUUAUGAAUACCAAAUUCUGAAUGCUUUGUUGUUGUUAUUGGUGAAAUUCCAGUAUAUCUUAACUAUCAUUUGAUAGAGUUUAAGAAGUAUAAAGGUAGCUCCUUUAUGCUCAGACUUAGGCUGAUAUUAGCUAAAUAAAUCAGUUAUUACAAAUGUAGAGCGAAAGCUCAUGUCCAUUAUUUUAUACAU